AUUUCCUGGGGAACUGGUUGGAAUGCAGGUUCUGAUUCCCGGUCCUCAAGACAUCUGGAGGCCCAAGAUUCUGCAUUUCUAACCAGCUCCCAAGAGAUGCCCA
rnacentral:pre_miRNA from 1 species